rnacentral:rRNA from 1 species
UACGAAGGGGGCAAGCGUUGUUCGGAAUUACUGGGCGUAAAGGGCGCGUAGGCGGCUUAUCAAGUCAGGCGUGAAAUUCCCGGGCUCAACCUGGGGGCUGCGCUUGAUACUGAUUGGCUUGAAUCCGGGAGAGGGAUGCGGAAUUCCAGGUGUAGCGGUGAAAUGCGUAGAUAUCUGGAGGAACACCGGUGGCGAAGGCGGCAUCCUGGACCGGCAUUGACGCUGAGGCGCGAAAGCUAGGGGAGCAAACGGG